UGGCACAUAAUCAGGUUUAGGUAGAACAGCUGUAAACUUUGUGUUUGAUCUCUUUUCCGUGGGAUUUUGGGUAUUGAUGUGUGGGGAUAUCUCCUAGCUCUCUAGUAAACACUUGUCGAUGUCCUCCCAUUGUGUCAUAAGUCCCUGAGGCCGAUAUCCGUCUCUGCAGCCACAGAUGCUACUGCUUUUUCCGGAAUCCACUGUUCGAAGUUGAAGACCAACGGCUGCAAGACUUGUUCAAGCAUCCUCUUUUGUAUAGUGUUUCAAGUGCUGCCCCAGAUGGACAUCUGUAAUCUCAGACAGCGAUUCCCUAGGACGAAGGAGAGCCUUUGCCUCACCUGGACAGCUCAGGUUGAUGCGACAGAAUUGGAGCGGCCUAACAAACGUACGAUCGGCCGCGUUCCGGAGCACCUCGAAACCUUUCCGUAUCACGCGUUGGGAUUUCUCAUGACACAGCAUCCCGGGCGUCCCUCUGUGCAAAGUCAAGCGGUAAAGGAUUGAAUAACUGACAAGCGGUGUCUGGGAUUCAAAUGGUUCUGUUAAAAUUAAGCAAAGAACGCAAUAAGAAAAAUUAUCAUCCUUUUAAUGUCUGAAAUAGUUUGGAAUAAAAAUGCUGGGAAAAGGCAUUUUUGUAUUUGAAUUGGUGUCACCUGGAUAUAACCCCACAGCGAGCAAUCAGAGCAGAAAUGCGAAAGCCGGGAUUCUGCGACUCCUGCAGAGGACUUAAUUUUCUUUUCCUCCUCUCUUUUAGGACAGGAAAAAUCAUUACAGUCCUCUCAUCUUUGCCAAAAGACGUGGCGUUUCAGCAGCCAAAGCCAAGAGGCUUCAGCACCAGGGGUCUGCGCUGGAGGGCUCCUGGUCCUGCCCGUACUGUGGGGUUUGCAGUUUAUUAUGAGGGUGUGGGUGUAAGAAAGAGUGUGGAGCAUGGAGAGUAAGAGAUAAGGGGGUGAGAGAGAGAGAUUAGAAAUCGGAGGUAAGAGGUAAGAGAGAGCAAUUUUCCAUUCACAAUACA